ACUCUGAUAAACCUAAAGGCGCAAUGAAAGUAAAGGUCCGCCUUGCGCGGACCGAGGGAGGAUGGGCCGGUCCGAGAGCCGGCUCCGCACUCCCGGGGCGUCUCGUUCUCAUCGCGAGAAGAGGCGCACCCAGAGCGUACACGCUGGGACCCGAAAGAUGGUGAACUAUGCCUGGUCAGGACGAAGUCAGGGGAAACCCUGAUGGAGGUCCGUAGCGAUUCUGACGUGCAAAUCGAUCGUCGGAACUGGGUAUAGGGGCGAAAGACUAAUCGAACCUUCUAGUAGCUGGUUCCUUCCGA
rnacentral:rRNA from 1 species